rnacentral:rRNA from 1 species
UUGUUGCCAGCGGUCCGGCCGGGAACUCAAAGGAGACUGCCAGUGAUAAACUGGAGGAAGGUGGGGAUGACGUCAAGUCAUCAUGGCCCUUACGACCAGGGCUACACACGUGCUACAAUGGCGCAUACAAAGAGAAGCGACCUCGCGAGAGCAAGCGGACCUCAUAAAGUGCGUCGUAGUCCGGACUGGAGUCUGCAACUCGACUCCAUGAAGUCGGAAUCGCUAGUAAUCGUGGAUCAGAAUGCCACGGUGAAUACGUUCCCGGGCCUUGUACACACCGCCCGUCACACCAUGGGAGUGGGUUGCAAAAGAAGUAGGUAGCUUAACCUUCGGGAGGGCGCUUACCACUUUGUGAUUCAUGACUGGGGUGAAGUCGUAACAAGGUAACCGUAGGGGAACCUGCGGUUGGA